rnacentral:rRNA from 1 species
AGAGUUUGAUCCUGGCUCAGAACGAACGCUGGCGGCGUGCUUAACACAUGCAAGUCGAACGAGAAAGGGCUCUUCGGAGCCUGAGUACAGUGGCGCACGGGUGAGUAACGCGUAGAUAACCUGUCCGGGUGUCUGGGAUAACCCACCGAAAGGUGGACUAAUACCGGAUACGCUUGUUGAUCGGAAGAGGAACAAGGAAAGAUGGCCUCUGUUGCAAGCUAUCGCACCUGGAGGGGUCUGCGUACCAUUAGCUUGUUGGUGGGGUAAUGGCCUACCAAGGCGACGAUGGUUAGCGGGUCUGAGAGGAUGAUCCGUCACACUGGCACUGAAACACGGGCCAGACUCCUACGGGAGGCAGCAGUGAGGAAUAUUGCGCAAUGGGGGAAACCCUGACGCAGCGACGCCGCGUGAGUGAGGAAGGCCUUCGGGUCGUAAAACUCUGUCAGAAGGGAAGAAAUGCAGGGAGGUUAAUACCCUUUCUGUUUGACGGUACCUUCAAAGGAAGCACCGGCUAACUCCGUGCCAGCAGCCGCGGUAAUACGGAGGGUGCGAGCGUUGUUCGGAAUCACUGGGCGUAAAGGGCGCGCAGGCGGUCUGGUAAGUCAGAUGUGAAAGCCCACGGCUCAACCGUGGAAGUGCAUUUGAAACUGCCAGACUUGAGUACCAGAGGGGAAAGUGGAAUUCCCGGUGUAGAGGUGAAAUUCGUAGAUAUCGGGAGGAAUACCGGUGGCGAAGGCGACUUUCUGGCUGGAUACCGACGCUGAGGCGCGAAAGCGUGGGGAGCAAACAGGAUUAGAUACCCUGGUAGUCCACGCCGUAAACGAUGUCAACUAGGUGUUGGGGGUGUUGAUCCCCUCAGUGCCGGAGCUAACGCAUUAAGUUGACCGCCUGGGGAGUACGGUCGCAAGAUUAAAACUCAAAGGAAUUGACGGGGGCCCGCACAAGCGGUGGAGUAUGUGGUUUAAUUCGAUGCAACGCGAAGAA